CCACGCAGUAAACGAUGAGUGCUAGAUGUCGGGAGUCAAAUCUCGGUGUCGCAGCUAACGCAAUAAGCACUCCGCCUGGGGAGUACGUACGCAAGUAUGAAACUCAAAGGAAUUGACGGGGACCCGCACAAGCAGCGGAGCAUGUGGUUUAAUUCGAAGCAACGCGAAGAACCUUACCAAGGCUUGACAUAUACAUGACCGUCUUAGAGAUAAGAUUUUCUCUUCGGAGACAUGUAUACAGGUGGUGCAUGGUUGU
rnacentral:rRNA from 1 species